rnacentral:lncRNA from 1 species
AAAGGUUCUAGUACCUCUCGAUUUGGUGGAGACGAGACACAAAUCGAUCCGGCUUCCGAACAACAUGAUCCGAAACCCUACAUUUUUUUUUAUUUUUUUGAUGUUUUUCUUUUAGUUAGGAGCACCAAAGAAGUAACCACAUAAAAUUUGAGCUUAAACAAGUGAAAAACAUGGCCUGUGGAAUUAUCUGAAGAUUGUGAAAAAUGUGAAAAAACUUCACGAGGUGAAAACUCAAACUUUGGAGGUGAAUUUGCAGGUUCUAAAAUUUUCAAACCCACCAAAAGCUAGGACACACACAUCCAAAAUUUUUUUCUGAUCGAUUUUGAUAUAUGCAACGUUAAAAUCGGAGUUCGUAUGUGAAAGUUAUGGCUAUUUUACGAACGGACUCCGAAUUAGAGGACAAAACGGUCUGAAAGUGGGAAAAAUUUGCGGUGGUGGCUAGAAAUUGAUGGAAACGGUGGGGAAAAACACACGAACUGGACUCUAACUAGACCUAACCAGCAACAGGACCUCAACAAGAACACAAACUCAACACUGCGGACUCUGAAACUGAAAUAUGCAAAGGCUUUGGCGUGAAAGGGUUGUAGGACACGAAAAUGAUAUAGCACUGGACUUAUGGUACAAACACAAGAACACUCGAAACUAAGGGUGGAUGUGAACCUAACGGUAUACCUAAAACUUUGAUUACCACUUGAUGAGAACAUGAGUGACCUGAUCUUUCAAAAGGUUCUGGUAACUCUAGAUUUGGUGGAGACGAGAAACAAAUCGAUCCGGCUUCCGAACAACAUCAUAUGAAACCGUGCAAUUUUUUUAUUUUUUUGAUAUUUUUCUUUUAGUUAUGAGCACCAAAGGAGUAACCACAGAAAAUUUGAGCUUAAACAAGUGAAAGACAUGGCCUGUGGAAUUUUUUGAAGAUUGUGAAAAAUGUGAAAAAAACUUCACGAGGUGAAAACUCAAACUUUGGAGGUGAAUUUUGAGGUUCUAAAAUUUUCAAACCCAACAAUGGAGGGGACAGACAGAUCCAAAAAAAAUUUCGGAUCGAUUUUGAUAUAUGGAACGUUGAAAUCGGAGUUCGUAUGCGAAAGUUAUGGCUAUUUUACGUACGGACUACGAAUUAGAGGACAAAACCGUCCGAAAGUGGGAGAAAUUUGCGGUGGUGGCUAGAAAUUGAUGGAAACGGUAGGGGAAAACACACGAACUGGACUGUAAUAAGACCUAACCAGCAACAAGACCUCGACCAGGACAAACUCAACAAUGCGGACUCUGAAACUAAAAUAUGCAGAGGCUAUGGCGUGGAAGGGUUGUAGGACAGGAAAACGAUAUGUUACUGGACUUAUGGGACGAACACAGGAACACUCGAAACUAAGGGUAGAUGUGAAACUAAUGGUAUACCUAAAGCUUUGAUUACCACUUGAUGAGAAAAAGGGUGGCCCGAUCUUUCGAAAGGUUCUGGUAACUCUCGAUUUGGUGGAGACGAGACACAAAUCGAUCCGGCUUCCGAACAACACGAUCUGAAACCCUACAGUUCUUUUUUAUUUUUUUAAUAUUUUUCUUUUAGUUAGGAGCACCGAAAGAGUAACCACAUAAAAUUUGAGUUCAGACAAGUGAAAGACACGGCCUGCGGAAUUUUCUGAAGAUUGUGAAAAAUGUGAAAAAAACAUCACGAGGUGAAAACGCAAACUUGGGAGGUGAAUUUGGAGGUCCUAAAAUUUUCAAACUUGCCAAAGGCAGGGACAUACAGAUCUGAAUUUUUUUUCUGAUCGAUUUUGAUAUAUGGAACGUUGAAAUCGGAGUUCGUAUGGGAAAGUUAUGGCUAUUUUACGAACGGACUCCGAAUUAGAGGACAAAAUGGUCCAAAAGUGGGAAAAAUUUGCGGUGGUGGCUAGAAAUUGAUGGAAACGGUGGGGAAAAACACACGAACUAGACUCUAACAAGACCUAACAAGCAACAAGACCUCAACCAAGACACAAACUCAACACUGCGGACUCUGAAACUGAAAUAUGCAAAGGCUAUGGCGCGUAAGGGUUGUAGGACAUGAAAACGAUAUGGCCCUGGACGUUUGGGACGAACACAAGAACACUCGAAACUAAGGGUAGAUGUGAACCUAACAGUAUACCUAAAGCUUUGAUUACCACUUGAUGAGAACAAGGGUGACCUCAUCUUCCAAAAGGUUUGUAACUCUCGAUUUGGUGCAGACGAGACACAAAUCGAUCCGGAUUCCGAACAACACGAUCCAAAACCCUACAAUUUUUUUUAUUUUUUCGAUAUUCUUCUUUUAGUUAGGAGUAACCACAGAAAAUUUGAGCUUAAACAAGUGAAAGACAUGGCCUGUGGAAUUUUCUGAAGAUUGUGAAAAAUGUGAAAAAAACUUCACGAGGUGAAAACUCAAAGUUCGGAGGAGAAUUUUAAGGUUCUAAAAUUUUCAAACCUCCCUACAAUGGGGACAUGCAGAUCCGAAAUUUUUUUCUGAUCGAUUUUGAUAUAUGGAACAUUGAAAUCGGAGUUCGUAUGCGAAAGUUAUGGCUAUUUUACAAACGAACUCUGAAUUAUAGGACAAAACGGUCCGAAAGUGGAAAAAAUUUGCGGCGGUGGCUAGAAAUUGAUGGAAACAAAGGGGAAAAGACACAAACUGGACUCUAACAAGACCUAUCCAGCAACAAGACCUCGACCAGGACAAACUCAACACUGCAGACUCUAAAACUGAAAUAUGCAGAGGCUAUGGCGCGGAAGGGUUGUAGGACUGGAAAACGAUAUGUUAUUGGACUUAUGGGACGAACACAGGAACACUCGAAACAAAGGGUAGAUGUGAACCUAAUGGUAUACCUAAUGCUUUGAUUACCACUUGAUGAGAACAAGGGUGGCCUGAUCUUCCGAAAGGUUCUGGUAACUCUCGAUUUGGUGGAGACGAGACACAAAUCGAUCCGGCUUCCGAACAACACGAUCCGAAACCUUGCAAUUGUUUUUUAUUUUUUUGAUAUUUUUAUUUUAGUUAGGAGCACCAAAAGAGUAACCACAUAAAAUUUGAGUUUAAACAAGUGAAAAACAUGGCCUGUGGAAUUAUCUGAAGAUUGUGAAAAAUGUGAAAAAACUUCACGAGGUGAAAACUCAAACUUUGGAGGUGAAUUUGCAGGUUCUAAAAUUUUCAAACCCACCAAAAGCUAGGACACAC